rnacentral:snRNA from 1 species
AUACUUACCUGGCAGGGGAGAUACUGUGAUCACGAAGGUGGUUUUCCCGGGAGAGCCUUAAUCAAUGCACUCCAGAUGUUUCCCAAAUUGGGAAACUCGACUGCAUAAUUUGUGGUAGUGGGGGACUGUAUUCGUGCUCUCCCCUA